rnacentral:RNase_P_RNA from 2 species
GGUGGGGGACGCUCAUCAGUGGGGUCACAUGCUGAGUACUCCUCUCUCUCCGGCCCCUGGAAAGGUCUGAGACUGUGGCCUCCCACGGCCCUAAUCGGACCCUCCCNGAGCAGGGAGGUGAGUUCCAGAGAGCAAGGCUCCAAGUGUGGGCAGACUUUCAAGCUCAAGGGUUCUUACAGAGGAAAGAGAGAUAUAGCAAGGGUCAUUUCCCUCAGUAGCUCUCUUGCUAUCAGAUUUGCAGCAUGGGCCGGGCUGGUCUUGGUCUGCAGGAGAGGCCUGCAGCCAGCCAGUGGCUCUUACAGACAGUGAGGGUGCACGCUCUCAGUGCAGGCAGAGAUGGGAGCUUUGGGCAGAGUGACAGGGACUGCCUGCAAUUGACAAGAACUGUGUGAAUGCUGAACAGAAAAUCUGACUUUAGUCAGAGGAGUUAACAAAAACUUUUUUCAGGAAAACUGGCAGCCAGGGACAUACUCUGCCCACCGCUCCCCCUCCCUUCCUUCCUAAGCCAGGUUCUUCACUGUGAUAACAGCAGCUAUCCUUGUUAACCCUUCCCUGUCCUGAUACUGCUUGAAAGAAAAAUGUUGAAUUACCAGCCUGCAUACUUUGAAAAGCUCUGACUUUAAAUUACAAGCCAAAGAUAUGUUGUUUGGGAAAAAAUUAUGUUUUUGUUUCCACAGGAAAAGAAAAAUUUACAUGGAUUUUGGUCAUUUGAGUUCAAUGGGUAACAAAUAUUUGCCAUC